rnacentral:rRNA from 1 species
AGCGAACGCUGGCGGCAGGCUUAACACAUGCAAGUCGAACGGGCACUUCGGUGCUAGUGGCAGACGGGUGAGUAACGCGUGGGAACGUACCUUUCGGUUCGGAAUAAUUCAGGGAAACUUGGACUAAUACCGGAUACGCCCUUCGGGGGAAAGAUUUAUCGCCGAUAGAUCGGCCCGCGUCUGAUUAGCUAGUUGGUGAGGUAAUGGCUCACCAAGGCGACGAUCAGUAGCUGGUCUGAGAGGAUGAUCAGCCACAUUGGGACUGAGACACGGCCCAAACUCCGACGGGAGGCAGCAGUGGGGAAUAUUGGACAAUGGGCGCAAGCCUGAUCCAGCCAUGCCGCGUGAGUGAUGAAGGCCUUAGGGUUGUAAAGCUCUUUUGUCCGGGAAGAUAAUGACUGUACCGGAAGAAUAAGCCCCGGCUAACUUCGUGCCAGCAGCCGCAGUAAAAC